rnacentral:tRNA from 1 species
GCCCGGUUAGCUCAGUUGGUUAGAGCGCGGUGCUAAUAAUGCUGAGGUCGUGGGUUCGAUUCCCUUAUCGGCCA